rnacentral:rRNA from 1 species
AUUGAACGCUGGCGGCAUGCCUUACACAUGCAAGUCGAACGGUAACGGGCCUUCGGGUGCCGACGAGUGGCGAACGGGUGAGUAAUACAUCGGAACGUGCCCGAUCGUGGGGGAUAACGAGGCGAAAGCUUUGCUAAUACCGCAUACGAUCUACGGAUGAAAGCAGGGGACCGCAAGGCCUUGCGCGGACGGAGCGGCCGAUGGCAGAUUAGGUAGUUGGUGGGAUAAAAGCUUACCAAGCCGACGAUCGGUAGCUGGACUGAGAGGAUGAUCAGCCACACUGGGACUGAGACACGGCCCAGACUCCUACGGGAGGCAGCAGUGGGGAAUUUUGGACAAUGGGCGCAAGCCUGAUCCAGCCAUGCCGCGUGCAGGAUGAAGGCCUUCGGGUUGUAAACUGCUUUUGUACGGAACGAAAAGCCUUCUUUUAAUACAGGAGGGUCAUGACGGUACCGUAAGAAUAAGCACCGGCUAACUACGUG